rnacentral:rRNA from 1 species
UACGAAGGGGGCUAGCGUUGCUCGGAAUAACUGGGCGUAAAGCGCACGUAGGCGGAUUGCUAAGUCAGGGGUGAAAUCCUGGAGCUCAACUCCAGAACUGCCUUUGAUACUGGCGACCUUGAGUCCGGGAGAGGUGAGUGGAACUGCGAGUGUAGAGGUGAAAUUCGUAGAUAUUCGCAAGAACACCAGUGGCGAAGGCGGCUCACUGGCCCGGUACUGACGCUGAGGUGCGAAAGCGUGGGGAGCAAACAGG